AGGGGUAUAGCUCAGUGGUAGAGCAUGUGCUUAGCAUGCACAAAGUCCUGGGUUCAAUCCCCAGUACUUCCG
rnacentral:tRNA from 1 species